AGUGAACGCUGGCGGUAGGCCUAACACAUGCAAGUCGAACGGCAGCACAGUAAGAGCUUGCUCUUACGGGUGGCGAGUGGCGGACGGGUGAGGAAUACAUCGGAAUCUACUUUUUCGUGGGGGAUAACGUAGGGAAACUUACGCUAAUACCGCAUACGACCUACGGGUGAAAGCAGGGGAUCUUCGGACCUUGCGCGAUUGAAUGAGCCGAUGUCGGAUUAGCUAGUUGGCGGGGUAAAGGCCCACCAAGGCGACGAUCCGUAGCUGGUCUGAGAGGAUGAUCAGCCACACUGGAACUGAGACACGGUCCAGACGCCUAAGGGAGGCAGCAGUGGGGAAUAUUGGACAAUGGGCGCAAGCCUGAUCCAGCCAUACCGCGUGGGUGAAGAAGGCCUUCGGGUUGUAAAGCCCUUUUGUUGGGAAAGAAAAGCGGCAGGUUAAUACCCCGCUGUUCUGACGGUACCCAAAGAAUAAGCACCGGCUAACUUCGUG
rnacentral:rRNA from 1 species